GAUGGAACCUUAUGUUUUUGGUCAAGUGGAACAAAAAGCCGGGUAAUACUAAUAAUACACAUUGUGCUACCUUAAAUUUCUUUAUUUUUAAAAUAAUAUUUCCCUUAGCGCAAAAUAGUCAACAUUCAGUGUAGAAAAUAGAAAAAAAUACAGGUCAGUAAAAUGAAGGUAAGAAAUUGCCUGUAUUCCCAUCACCAAGAUUUGUUUUUUAAAGCGACUUACUGUUCUUCUCUCUCUGGUAACAUUCCUUUGGGGUGGGGUAAGUUAAAGGAUGAUACACCUUUUCCCUGUUUUGGUGAUGUAGCAUCCAAAAUGCAUGGGAGAGCAUCCAGUAAUAAUUUGAGAAGAUGAUUAGUUUUGUGUUAUCUAUGCUUUUCUUUUCUGGGCUGGAGAGCUGCUGUAAUUGAAAUCAUCAAUUUACUAAUCACCCAAGUGCUAGAUUUACAGGAUGAUUAUUUAAUCAAGUUCAUCUGCACCUUGCACUGGAGGGGCUUAAGUGACCUCUGAUAAUAAUAAAUUAUAGUGCCAAAAUGUACCUUGACUUCAUUAUGAAUAUAUGGUCCAGAUGAGAAUCUGGUGAAAUCAUCUGUGAUGUGUUUAGAACGGACAAUCCCAAACCUAGGAAAAUAUGUAUUCAGUUUAAUAAAUAAUGGAGUUAAUAAGAACAAUAGUAAAAUCUUCAAACCUUUCAUUGGGCUAAAUAACUUAAUAAAGGUUUAUUUAAUGAGUGUGUUUUUGGAAAAGUAAGGUUAUAUAAAACUUACUGAGCAUUUAAAAUGAGAUUAUUUUAUUCAUGUCAUGAUCUUUUAAUCUAGAUUGUAAUUGGGCAGAUAGUCUCACUUAGACAAUAAUACUUAGAUUAUAAGAUAAGACAACAAAUAUCCUGGAUGACUGAGAAACCACAGAAAAUGCCAGACUAGCCUGACAAUAUCAGGAAUGGAAUUGAUUGUUUUGAGCCAAGACUGACCUCAAGUCUAAGAGACAGUGUUGCAAAUGGCAACAGUCAUUUCAGAUCGCAGAGAUGAUUCCUAAUCAAAGGUCUGGCUUUAUAUGUGCUCCCUGGAGAAAAGACUAACAGUCCCUAAUUUAUCUUUUCAGACAAGAUCUUCUGUCAGCUAGUGUCAUCUUUGAAAAUGAAGGAUGACAACAGUGCUUUAUUCAAAAUGCUUUCACUCAUCAGUUUUUGAGCAUACCAGAGUGAGAUGAAAACACAUUUAUUGUCUUAUACCUAGCUCCAUCUGUUAUCAUAUAGUGUCACUGUGCAGACUGUAGCCCAGCAUAUGUUUUGUUGAUAGCAUGACACUUGCAAUAUAGUUUUUUGAGGCAGGAACAGGCCUAUGUAGGUGAUUGAGUCCAGGGUUCUUGAUACAACAAUGUCUCUUCUUAAAUUGUGAGCCAGCUUCAAGUUUGAGCAAGUUCUGUGUGGUGUCGCAUCUUUACCAUUAUGCUCUACUUCUCUAUCUGACACUUUUAACCAGGCAAAUGACGUAAGCGUAUGCAUUUUAGUUUUAUCAUCUUUAUAAAAGAUUAACCAGCUCCUGCAAAAUGUUCCCAGUUUUUUUCCGUCAUUAAUGUAAACAGCUGUAGGAAGGAAACUGAAUAAAAUUGGUCUCACAUGUAGAGGGCCACUGUCUUAGUCAAAUUGGCAAAUGAGUAAUGUCUAAAGCUAUUUUUAAAGAUUUCUUAUUCUGAGUUAUUUCUGAGUUUAUUUCAUUUUGCAGCUUUUGUGAUCUAAAUUACUUUUAAUCUGUUUGGUUACCUACAAGAAUGAUUAAGUAGACUUUAAUAUCUCAAGGAAACUAUGUUUAUAUUUUUUGUUAACUAAGGUACUGAAAUCAGAAAAUAUUAAUAACAAUAAUUGCUCAUUUUUAUAAUAAUGGGUUAAGUUGCCUGUGUAGUUUUUGUUUGGUUUAUAUAAGCAGAAUACACAAUUGAAGGUGGUGUGAGUCUUGAAAUAAAAUAUCUAAUCAGCUGGAUUUCUGAAAAUGUUAUAGGGAGUCUCCUGACCAAGAUCUUUUAGAACAAAGCACACUAUAUGCAGUGGGUUUUUUUGCUAUCAAAUAAAAUUGAACUGAUGUGCACAGGUAUCUGUAAUUGGAGGUCCGUAAAGUUUGUGGUUGUGCUUGCUUACUAUUUAUUUGAAAAAAUAGGUGAUGGAUUCUGAGUCCUGUAGCUUGAGUCAUAGAGCUCUGAAGUCUAUCAGUCCCAGAUUUAGAUUGAAGAUCAAACUUUGACAAAUAAAGGUGAUUUGGGAAAUGUUUGUCCUUAAUAUUUAGAAGAGUACCUUGUCCAAAUUAGAGAUAGUAAGACUCAAGUAAGUCAGAAGAACUGUGAUUGUUGUAAGUUGGUUUCUCUUAAUUGAAAGGGAAAAUAUAUUAAUGUUCUGAGCAUUACUGCUGAUAAUUCCUCCCAUUCAGUUCUUACCACUCUUGAAUUUGAGUCACCAGUCGGUUGCCCAACACCUGUUUAUCUGCAUGGCUCCCAGGAUUGUUUCCUCACCUUUCACCCUCCCACUGGCAGUAAUCUUACUGUAAGUUUGGAAGCAAUGCCAGAUUCCUUAUGCACUGCUUUCGUGGCUGGUUUCCUUACUGACCUGCGGAACCUGCCAUCAACUGCUUUGAAGGACUUCAUUUACUGUGCAGCAGAAGUAUACUAGAAACCCAGAUAAAACUCAGAGGAAAUUUGCACAGAUGCUGCUUUGGAGAACUUUACAACCUGGGUUGCAGAACUGAGCCUUGGUAAACCUGUCUCUAUUACAGCAUGUUGCCAUACAUCUAAUUAAGUGCAUAAGGUCUUUGGCCUUCAAGAUCCAUUGACCUUAAACAGGAAUGCUUAGCACGUUUACCAUAUGUUUAAAAUCUGUUCUUUAUCAAUCAGUCCUUUUGUAGCUUUCUAAGUUCUUAUUGAUGGCUAAUAUGCAAGAAUUAAUUUUUAAUAUUUUAAUUGAUUUCUUUAAUCAGUUUCUCAACUUGUAUUUAUUAAAUACUCAAACUCAGUAUUACCUACUCAAUGCCUUUUAAAAGAACGUUAUAAUGGAGAAAAAUUGAGCCUUAAACAAAUGGUUACUUCUGUAUAUUACCUCGCACCAGUGCUUCAUUCUAUUUGUAAAAUCUUUCUCCUUUAAAUGGUUGGUUAAUACUUUGAGCCUUUGUUUACGUGUGGCAGUGUUGUAAAAAGAAACUGAAGAUCACAUUUUACCUGUAUGGAUGGAAUAUCCCUUUUCUUCAAGUGCAGUUUGUGAUGUGUUUUUGUAAUUAAAAUGUUCUGAAAGUUACAAUUGAUAUUUGAAAUUGACUGUACAGCAUUUAGCUGAAGAGUUAAGCAUUUGAUUCCAUUAGGUUUUCACAUGUGUUAAUCUCAUUUACAGCAUCAAAUUGCAGCAGUAACAUUUUCCUUUCUGUGAAGUUCUAAAUUUAGUUAUGACCUACUUAGCAAUGCCUUUGAAGAGGGAUAUUGUAUCCAUGGUAAAUUAAUUGUAUACCUAAACAGAGAUAGCUCAGCUUUGCCUGUCAGGCUUGUAAUUGACAUCUAGUAGACUUCUGCACAUGUAAAAUUAAAUUCAAAUAAAAUCAUAUACAGUUUCUAGUUCUUAAUAUUUGUCUUUCCGAGUAAUAGUUUAAAGCAAUAUUUGUUAAAGUUUUCUUGCACUAUCACAAUUGCUUUUUAGUUAUUUCUCAAGAAGCAUGUUUGUAGUAGAGACAAAAAUCUGUGUAACAGGAGGGAGGAUAGCGCCAAGUCUCUGGGCGUUUUGUUUUUGUUUUUGUUUUUUUGCAAAUGUGCUUCUAAUAGCCAUUGCCUUCCAUGUUGUUUACCUAAUCAGCACAUUUUGUCUGAAUACUUGAACAUUUUAACAGUAACACAGGUAUAGAAGCAGAAAGAAAACUUAUAAAGAGUAAUCUUGUGGUUCAGUUUUAACAUCAUGACGAGCGCUUUUUCUAGCAAUGAUUUAAAAAUUUUGUAAGUUUGACAGUAUUUUGUUGUUGGGUUUUUAUUUGGUUUUAAUUGUGUGCUUUUAAUUUGCAGAAGUUAAUAACUGCAGCUCACCUACUGCACCAAAGUUCUCGAUUUUAGGAGCCCAGCUUUAGUCAUUUGAACAUGCUUCUAAAUAAAACAAAACAAAAAAAAACCAAAACUAUACUUUUGCUCUAUAAUAAUAGCUCAAUAACUUUGUCAAGGAAAGCUCUAAUAUAUGCAGUGAUGGUUUUUGGAAGGGUGUGGCAAUUUUAAAUUUAUAUUGUGUGUGAUGUUCAAAUAAAGUGUUAUCUACAUUCAUGUGAUUUAUUGGUCAGCGUGACCAUUAAUUAUUGCGUAGAAAUUAAUUAAACUUUGAUUUCCUUUUUUAAAAUCGUGUUGCAUUUGAUUCCUGAUCAAAUUCCCUCAAAGUGAACUCUUGAUUUUAGAUUUUGAAUUUUAUGGUGAGAUUGUAAGGGUGGAGGCAAUUGAAACUUUGUUUCUUAUUUAUAAACUGCUUGAAAUGAAUACCUAAUUUAAGUUUGCACUUUAACACCAAACUUAAAACCAAACACUCAGUUCAAAGUAGGUUAAGUGAUUGUGGUUCAUCUUUAUUAGCUUUGUGAAAUUCUAAAGGAAUCAAAUAAUUCAUAAUGAUUUAAGUUUUCUGCAGAUGGAUUUUUUUUAAUACAGUGUUUCUUUCCUAUGGAUAGUUCCCAUUCUCUUGCUCUCUCUCGCUCUCUCUCGCUCUCUCUGUCGCUGACCUCAGCAGCAAGUUUAACUUGAAUUCACUUAGGAUCACAGGAAUCAGGGGAAAGUGAUUUAAAGGUGGUUUCUCCAGCACAUUUUAAGAAAAGGGACCAAAAGUUAUUUUAGCUUCCUCAAUAGAUUGCAUGUCAAGUUGCUUAUUAGGAUAAUAAAUUAAUAUUAAAUGCAAUAUAUGUCUCAUCUUUACUGUGGCAUCUGUUUAGGAGUUGUUCAAAUCACUGCAGUAGGGCUCUGCAAAUAAAAUCAUGUAACCUAUUAUCAUGGAUCUAAUGUACUGUAACUUUAUCAAUGAAAGGUAAAAAGUCUCGAAUAACAAGUACAAACAUUGAACAAUGACCUAUAAAGAUUUGUAAAAGUAAAAUUUUUCCAAUAGAUUUCAUUCUUGUCAUUUUGUAAGACGACCCUGCAGUCCACCUGUUUGUAACUUUUUUAAUAAAAUAGACAUCUGUAUUACUGA